rnacentral:lncRNA from 1 species
GGGGUCCACCCUAAAAUAAAAGGGAACCCUAGAUCUAGUGUCCUACAAUUUUGGGCCCUCAUAUUUUUGUCAAAAUGGCCCAAUGUGCAUAAGUUCAAUUAAAAAUAUUCUAUACUACUAAGUUACAAUGUAAUUAAAUUUGAAAUGUCCAAGACAAGAGUCUUGAAUUAUUUUGUCUCCUCCAAAUGUCCCAAAUUGUGUUUCCAAAAUUUUCCCUGAAAAUAAUAAUGCAAAUAAUUAGCUCAGAAAAUUCAAAUUAAUUAAAAUUAGAAUUUCCGGUCAAAUUAAGCAUAUUUAGGAAAAAUGGGAAAAUACCGGACAAUUAAGCACAAUUCCCUGAUUAAUUCUAGCACAAUAAACUAAGUGAAAUCAAUAAAACAUCGACUCAUCAGUUCAUCUUUCAAGAUCAACUCUCUUUUCUUUUUCCCAGCCUUCCCUUGCAGUGAGCUUUUUCUUUUUUUUUUCUUUUUUUCUUUUUCUCACUUUUUCUUUUCUUUUUGCCUUUUUCUUGCUUUUUCUUUGGAUUGCUCACUACCUAGAGAGGUGGUUGUUUCCUGGUAACCCCAAACUUGAAUCUUUAUCAAUACCUCAUCAAAUGUUCUCAACUUAACUCAAGGUAAAGAUUUUUCAAAAAGGUUUUUCAAGAGAUAUAUUAGGCUCAAGGUUCAUAGGUUAGAACAAAUUAUUCUCUUUUCAGUGAGUAAAAAAUAUUUUGAAAAGAAUAAGGGAUAACAAAUGAUGGCCUUGAUCAUAUGGAACCUGCAGGCAAGUAGUUCAAUCACAAAAAAAUUGGGCAAAAUCAUUCAUGCUUCCAAAGUAAUAACAAUUAUUUAAAAACAACUCUGAAGCUCAAAACUCGCACAGGUAAACUCACAAGUUCUCAAAUUUAGAAAAACAUCCUGCUCAGUAUUUUUAAUCAACUUUAUUUCAAGCACUUGUUUCACACAUUGUGAGUCAUCACUUAUAUCACAUCAUGCAUCAUCUCAACUUCAAUCAAACACUAGAAUCUCAUAAAGCAAAACCCACCACACAAAACAUGCACAGUUGAAUCAAAGCAGUUCAGUUCAUUCAAGCAGAGCACAAAAAAAAUAAAAUAAAAUAGAACAAAAACAAAAAUUAAAACAAAAAAAAACAAAAAUUAAAAGUAAAAGUUCAGAGAACUGGGUUGCCUCCCAG